CACUCACUCCUGCUCAGCUGCCGACUGCUACAACCGGCGAGGUGAGGCUCUUCUCCCCCAACAGCCUGGACAGUCAUUGUCCCCUUCUGUGCCUUUAAGUCCCCAAAUCUCCACUCAGUCCACUUUGUCUCCCACAGCAGCAGCCACUGCUUCCACAUGGCCUCCAUGACCCCCCAGUCUCCGUGGUCUUGCCCACGAGGCUCUGAGGUUUCACCCCAGUGGCCCGUGCCUGAGGGUCCCCAUGGCCUCUGCCCCCAUGGUCUCUGGGUUUGGGGCCCCUGUUUUGUCCCCUGUAAUCUCAGGUGACCCCCAUGUCCCCAGGUCUCCUGUAUCUUCAACACCCCUGAAUGUCCAGUUGCGCUGGUCCCCGUAUCUGGUGGUCUCAGCUCCUUCCUAGAGCCCCGCGUGGCCUAAGUGCCCUCCUCCCCAGACUCUCAUGGGACCUCCAGCCCCAUGUCUGCAGCACCUCUCCCUCCCUAGAGCCCCACGUGCCUGGGACAUCCUGUGCUCACCCCAAGAGCCGGAAGCAGAACCACCUGCCCAAAGUGCUCCACCCCAGCAACCCUCACAUUAGCAGUGGCUCCACUGUGGCCACCUGCUUGAGCCAGGGUGGCCUCCUGGAAGACCUGGACAACCUCAUCCUGGAGGACCUGAAGGAGGAGGAGGAGGAAGAGGAGGAGGUGGAGGACGAGGAGGGCGGGCCCAGGGAGUGACCCCUGCCAGGUGCAGAUACAAACCAGACACGGUCUGUGGCUACUUUGUGUUAUUAUAAGAUAUGAGCUCAAACCGAGAUAUGAAUGACCUUGGGGAGCCAUCUGGGGCCAAGAUAUUGACGGGGGGGAUUCCUGGGUCCCAUUUUCAGCGCCCAGGGUCACAGAUCCACAGUGGGAAGUUCUGUGGGACACAUUGGCACUGAGCCACAAAGAAGGUGUGGCCAGAACAACUUGGGCUCCUGCUGACCAAUGUCCCCUGGGGCCUAGGGGACAGAGGAACACAGAGUCACAGCUUCAGGGGCCGAAUGAGCAUGGCGGCCUUCCUGAGAGAGUAUGCCCCACCACGAAACUCAGCCCAGUAGACACCAUCCUGGUAGCGGCUUCGGUAGUGGCCGCCGUGAUGCCACACACCGUUGAGGUUGGAGUGGGCACAGGCAUGGUACCACCAGCCUCCCCGCUGGUACAGGGCACAGUUACCUGAGGGGAGAGAGAGAGUCCAUGUCCUCUCACCAGAAUAAAAGCCUCUACCUGCACCUCACAGUGCAAGGCUUUUGCCAGGCAUCCCCUGGCCCCUCCCAUUCUUGUUGAAUACAAGCCCUGAUCUUCCAUCUCCUCAGCAAAAAAAUAGGAGCCCUGGCCCCCCAACUUUCUUCAGAGUAAUAGCCUUAAUUCCUUCCCUAUCUCCUUACCAAAGUACAAGUCACACCUUUCCCACCUUUUCUGCAAACUAGAAGUCUACCGUUCAUUCCUUUAUCAAAGAAAAGUAUCUACUUCCUUUCUAGAAUAAGAGCACUAGCUCUCACCCUCUGCCCUUUACUUGAACAGGAGUCUUGAUUCUUUUUUUGCCUCAACAGAGAAGGAAUCUGGACUCCCCAUCCCCCCACCAGGAUAAAAGUCCUGACCUUUGUUCUCUUGACAGAAUAAAAGCUUGCUUAUCCUUAU
rnacentral:sRNA from 1 species